ACACGGACAGACCCUCAUCUACCGCGCCUGACUGUCAUUCAGUCAGACCAGCACGGACUCACUGUCGUAGGGGUCCCUUCAUGUUGAGUAGGUUUUCAGUUUAGAGAGGGUUUUCUGCCUUGUUCUCAUCUGGUCCCUUUCCUUGUGUGGCCCAGGAGAAGCAGCCAUGCUGUGGGCUGUGUCUCUGCUCAAUUUCCUGCCUCUUGCAGUCAGUCAAACAUCUUCCAACAUGGACAUGGGAAUCAUCUCCAUCACCAGGACACCUGGGUCCACUGUGACCAUCACCUGUAAUUUGCAUAUUGGAAAGAGUUACGUCCACUGGUACCGAUUUCUGGAGGGCCAGGUCCCACAACGCCUUCUUUACUAUGACUUCACCAGUUCCAGGGCUGUGCUGGAUUCUGGAUUCAUAUCAAGGAAAUACAGUGCUCAUCAGGCCACACAGGAUAGCAAUAAAAUUGUGGUAUGGAACGUGGAAGAGAGCGACUCUGCCGUGUAUUACUGUGCAGUGUGGGCAGGCACAGUGCUUCACACCUGCUCAGCGCUGCACUGAAAAGUCCGCUUGUGGCUGCUCCUGGUGCACAGGACGGAUCAGCCUCCAGCUCACUUCCUGCCCUGAUUUCCUCUGUGUGGUGACUGACUUCAAUUUAUGAGUAGACUGUCUAAUUGUAUAUCCCUUUGCCAGAAGUGCAGUGUUUUUAUUAUAAUCACUUCAUAAGAAUUCCAAUAAGAAAUGAAAUUUUUAGACAUAGUGUAAUUCAACAGUGUUACAGAGAGCUGGGGGUAUAGCUUGGUGGCAUGGUGCCUGUCUGGUGAGCUCAAGGUCCUGAGUUCCAUUCCCUGUACUCAAACAAGCAAAAACAUUGUUAUACAGGCAUAAAUUGAAAAUAAAAGA